CCUACGGGAGGCAGCAGUGGGGAAUAUUGCACAAUGGGGGAAACCCUGAUGCAGCGACGCCGCGUGAGUGAAGAAGUAUUUCGGUAUGUAAAGCUCUGUCAGCAGGGAAGAAAAUGACGGUACCUGACCAAGAAGCCCCGGCUAACUACGUGCCAGCAGCCGCGGUAAUACGUAGGGGGCAAGCGUUAUCCGGAUUUACUGGGUGUAAAGGGAGCGUAGACGGCAGGGCAAGUCUGGAGUGAAAGGCGGGGGCUCAACCCCCGGACUGCUCUGGAAACUGCCAGGCUGGAGUGCAGGAGAGGUAAGUGGAAUUCCUAGUGUAGCGGUGAAAUGCGUAGAUAUCAGGAGGAACACCGGCGGCGAAGGCGGCCUGCUGGACUGAAACUGACGUUGAGGCUCGAAAGCGUGGGGAGCAAACAGGAUUAGAUACCCCAGUAGUC
rnacentral:rRNA from 1 species